UACGUAGGGUGCGAGCGUUAAUCGGAAUUACUGGGCGUAAAGCGUGCGCAGGCGGUUUCUGAAGUCCGUUGUGAAAGCCCCGGGCUUAACCUGGGAAUGGCAGUGGAAACUAGGAGACUUGAAUCUGGCAGAGGGGGGUGGAAUGCCACGUGUAGCAGUGAAAUGCGUAGAGAUGUGGCGGAACACCGAUGGCGAAGGCAGCCCCCUGGGUCAAGAUUGACGCUCAGGCACGAAAGCGUGGGGAGCAAACAGG
rnacentral:rRNA from 2 species